rfam:TPA: Bos taurus chromosome 2, whole genome shotgun sequence.
UCCCUGGUGGCUCAGAUGGUAGAGAAUCUGCCUGCAAUGCAGAAGACCUGGAUUUGAUCCCCAGGUUGGGGGC